rnacentral:rRNA from 1 species
UACGGAGGGAGCUAGCGUUGUCCGGAAUUAUUGGGCGUAAAGCGCGCGCAGGCGGUCCCUUAAGUCUGAUGUGAAAGCCCACGGCUCAACCGUGGAGGGUCAUUGGAAACUGGGGGACUUGAGUGCAGAAGAGGAAAGUGGAAUUCCAUGUGUAGCGGUGAAAUGCGUAGAGAUGUGGAGGAACACCAGUGGCGAAGGCGACUUUCUGGUCUGUAACUGACGCUGAGGCGCGAAAGCGUGGGGAGCGAACAGG